GACAAAGAAAACUGUCGGUUUCUCCUCGACGAAGCUGAGACAAUCAUGGGUGAUCUUCUCGACGACGAAGCAACUCGGUGGUGGCUGUCCUCUCCGACGACAAAAUUGUCGGACGCUGCUGAGUCGAAUCGAACUGGCGGUUCCUGUCCACGACGAAGCGUAGCAAAGCGUGGGUUCCUCUCCUCGACGACGAAGCAAACCGGCGGUGGCUCUCCUCGACGACGACGAAAAUCGACGGUUGCUGCUAUUAGAAUCGAAAGAGGAACAGAAGUUCUCAAAGGAUGGAUAUGAGCAUCACAUGCAAACUUUUUAGAAGAAAUGUUUUUACUUGGUUUUCUAUAGAGAUUCUUGAGAUUUUUGAUACUUGCUGUUGUUGUUGUGAACAGAAAUCAACGAUAGGUGCAGCAUUCUUCUCUCAGACAUUGGCUGUGAAUGAUGCAAAUGAUUCAUGACUUUGUUGGUAACUUGAGAAAAUGAUUUAGUUCAUAGGGGUUUACAGGGACUCGGAAAUCAGCACCAAUGGUGUGUUGUGACUUUUGCCAGCGCUGGGUUCAUUGCCGCCAGUCUUUUAUAUUUAUUUUGUUUUCUUAUUUCCUCUCCAAUGUUAUGGAUUUCUGUAAAUAACAGUUAAGUGAUACCAUUUUGUCUCUGUUACGAUGGUAGGCCAAAGGAUCUUGAGGAUGUUGAUA